CAGUAGCCGCGGUAAUACGAAGGGUGCAAGCGUUACUCGGAAUUACUGGGCGUAAAGCGUGCGUAGGUGGUGGUUUAAGUCCGUUGUGAAAGUCCUGGGCUCAACCUGGGAAUUGCAGUGGAUACUGGGUCACUAGAGUGUGGUAGAGGAUAGUGGAAUUUCCGGUGUAGCAGUGAAAUGCGUAGAGAUCGGAAGGAACAUCUGUGGCGAAGGCGACUAUCUGGGCCAACACUGACACUGAGGCACGAAAGCGUGGGGAGCAAACAGGAUUAGAUACCCCAGUAGUCCCUGUCUCUUAUAA
rnacentral:rRNA from 1 species